rnacentral:snRNA from 1 species
UUGCUUCAGCAACAAAUAUACCAAAACUGGAACAUUACAGAGAUUAGCAUGGCUCUUGCACAAGGAUGACAUGCAAAUUCAUGAAGUGAUUCAUAUCUAA